GCGCGGCGGGGGCGGGCGGCGGUGGACGGCACGGGGGCUCCGCGCCCGCGGAGGAAGCGGGCCCGCGGCGUGGGGCGCCCUCAGCAGCGAGCUCAGCAGCGAGGGGCCGUGGACGCUGCCCCCGGGGUGCUGCCCCCUUGGUGUUGUGGUUGGGGCUGGCCGUGCGGCCUCAGGUGGUCGCUGUGGUGUGUGGUGCUCCCAAAGCUGCUGUGGUGCUGGGCUCGUUGUGUUCGGAGGGGGCACGGAGCAUGUGGUCGUCUAAAAGACGGGUUCAGUAGUGCCAUAAAUCCCUUGUCUUCGUUGCCCUAUGGUGCCACCAACCCUGUGGCCGUGAUUGUAUCCUGCUACCAGGCUGCUGGUCUGGCACCUAUCACCGUUACCAACACCCACGGGGCCUGGUGUGUCCCCAGCAGGUGCUGCCAGGCCAUCUGGUUUCACAGGGGUUGCUUCACGCUCUCCCUGCUCCCUAUGACCAAGAUGUCUGCUUGCCGCUGCCUACCCCCGCAGCCCGGUGAGUGCCUGGCCUCAGCUGGCGCAAAUUGGUGCAGUGCUGCUACUGCACUCAUGGCUUGUCCCAGGUGUCCCGCCGGGAUUGAUGUGAAAAUAUGAGGCAGCAAAACUCAUCAGCGUUAAUUAGUUCAUGGUAUGUUUUCUUUCCUGGUGAUGAAGACAAAUUGCCUUUUCCAAGACUGGGCCCAUGUUAACAAUUUUGAACGUUGCGUUUGAAGAAGGCUUCUGAGAAUAAGCCUCCUGCUGCCCACACUGUGGCUGUACCAAGCCACAGAUCCUCCAAGGUGCUGUUGAGUGACACCGCUCGUACAUUGUUUUAUAUAAAAAGAGCGAGUACCACACCCUCAUUUGGGGAGUCAAAAUGUGGUGGGGAAGAGGGAAAUGGAGCUGUUACAAAAGACAGUAAUUGGGAGAGACUGGUCAGAGGCUGUUUUUUCAACUAAAUGUUCUCAGCUGUGCAGAAGUGCUUUUUGUGUGGACACUUGAGUUACGGAAGCAGCUGGUGGCGGUCAAUGCAUGGUUUUGAACCCUAGGCCAGGGCUCAGGGUGGUCUGGGGGCAGCUCACCUGCAGCUGGCCGUGGGAGGAACGCCUGCUUCUCACCCUUCGCCUCGGGAGCCGUUGGUUGUCUCCAGCAGGCCCACCUUCAGCUUUGCAGAAGAGCCGGGUGUGAGACUGGAUGUGAAUAAUAAACUGAUCAUUUUCAUCAGUACACCCACAGAAGUGGAAAUGCGCAUGUUAGCGGGAAGGCAAGAGGGAAGGUCAGCGCAGCGUGUGCUGCUGAAGGUCCUGCAGGCGGUCGUUACCGAUUCCAGGCAUGCCUCGGGCUGGCACAGUGACACGUUCCUGGGACACCUUGAAGACGGAGGAGAGAACUGAUCUGAGGUGGUCAGAGCUGGCUGUGCUGACCUUACUCCUGGCAGAUAGCCACUCUCCCUGCUCUGGCCCAACCACGCCACCCACCAGAGAGCAACGCAAUCAAACGUGGAGGAGGAGCACAGCCACUACACUGCUGGGCUCAAGGGCACAAAGGACUGUACAACACUCAGGAGCUGCUCUGACGGAGGCGGUGUUUGUUUGCAAUUAGUGCCUUCGCCCUGGGCUGGGGAGUUUGCUUCAAUUAUCAAGCAGAGAAGUGCAGCUGGUGGCUGGGAAACCUGCAGGAGCUGGAGCAUCCCCUUGGAAACCUCCAACCCUUGUCCAUGUGCACUGGAGCCUGUCCCAUUGCUGAGCUCAGCUUCAAACAUGGGAAGGAUUUCAGCUCUCAGCAUCUGGGACUUUCUGCAAGGCCGCUCUGAGCUGGGCACUGAGGGCAGGAGCAGAGGGCAACUUCCCGGAGCACACAGCGUGGUCCCCUGGGCGUUUUCGCUGUGGAAAUAACAGGGUUUCUUCCCAGAACAAGAAACGCCUUGCAUCAUGCACAGCAGAGGGAAGCGCAUGUGCCAAGUGAAGCAGCGAGUGGCAGGCUACUUAAAAUGGCAGCUGCCCACACGAGAGUUCUCCCCACUCCUUAUUGUGGAGAAGGUGAAAUGCUGACGGUGGAGUCCGGGCUCUAGG